rnacentral:rRNA from 1 species
GCGCACGGUGGAUGCCUUGGCACUAGGAGCCGAUGAAGGACGGGACGAACACCGAUAUGCUUCGGGGAGCUGUAAGCAAGCUUUGAUCCGGAGAUUUCCGAAUGGGGAAACCCACCACUCGUAAUGGAGUGGUAUCCAUAUCUGAAUUCAUAGGAUAUGAGAAGGCAGACCCGGGGAACUGAAACAUCUAAGUACCCGGAGGAAGAGAAAGCAAAUGCGAUUCCCUGAGUAGCGGCGAGCGAAACGGGAUUAGCCCAAACCAAGAGGCUUGCCUCUUGGGGUUGUAGGACACUCUGUACGGAGUUACAAAGGAACGAGGUAGAUGAAGAGGUCUGGAAAGGCCCGCCAUAGGAGGUAACAGCCCUGUAGUCAAAACUUCGUUCUCUCCUGAGUGGAUCCUGAGUACGGCGGAACACGUGAAAUUCCGUCGGAAUCCGGGAGGACCAUCUCCCAAGGCUAAAUACUCCCUAGUGACCGAUAGUGAACCAGUACCGUGAGGGAAAGGUGAAAAGCACCCCGGAAGGGGAGUGAAAGAGAUCCUGAAACCGUGUGCCUACAAGUAGUCAGAGCCCGUUAACGGGUGAUGGCGUGCCUUUUGUAGAAUGAACCGGCGAGUUACGAUCCCGUGCAAGGUUAAGCAGAAGAUGCGGAGCCGCAGCGAAAGCGAGUCUGAAUAGGGCGCAUGAGUACGUGGUCGUAGACCCGAAACCAGGUGAUCUACCCAUGUCCAGGGUGAAGUUCAGGUAACACUGAAUGGAGGCCCGAACCCACGCACGUUGAAAAGUGCGGGGAUGAGGUGUGGGUAGGGGUGAAAUGCCAAUCGAACCUGGAGAUAGCUGGUUCUCUCCGAAAUAGCUUUAGGGCUAGCCUCAAGGUAAGAGUCUUGGAGGUAGAGCACUGAUUGGACUAGGGGCCCCUACCGGGUUACCGAAUUCAGUCAAACUCCGAAUGCCAAUGACUUAUCCUUGGGAGUCAGACUGCGAGUGAUAAGAUCCGUAGUCGAAAGGGAAACAGCCCAGACCGCCAGCUAAGGUCCCAAAGUAUACGUUAAGUGGAAAAGGAUGUGGAGUUGCUUAGACAACCAGGAUGUUGGCUUAGAAGCAGCCACCAUUUAAAGAGUGCGUAAUAGCUCACUGGUCGAGUGACUCUGCGCCGAAAAUGUACCGGGGCUAAACGUAUCACCGAAGCUGCGGACUGUUCUUCGAACAGUGGUAGGAGAGCGUUCUAAGGGCUGUGAAGCCAGACCGGAAGGACUGGUGGAGCGCUUAGAAGUGAGAAUGCCGGUAUGAGUAGCGAAAGAGGGGUGAGAAUCCCCUCCACCGAAUGCCUAAGGUUUCCUGAGGAAGGCUCGUCCGCUCAGGGUUAGUCGGGACCUAAGCCGAGGCCGAAAGGCGUAGGCGAUGGACAACAGGUUGAUAUUCCUGUACCACCUCCUCACCAUUUGAGCAAUGGGGGGACGCAGGAGGAUAGGGUAAGCGCGGUAUUGGAUAUCCGCGUCCAAGCAGUUAGAGAUCGGA